rnacentral:rRNA from 1 species
GCUAGUAAGACUCCUGGAAGAACACCAGGUUGAUAGGUCAGAGAUGUAAGCAUGGCAACAUGUUAAGUUGACUGAUACUAAUAAGUCGAGGGCUUGACCAA